rnacentral:lncRNA from 1 species
GUGGUAUUAAAUUCAGGCAUUUCAACUGGGCGACUUUGGGCAAACAUCAAAAUGAACAGGCUCAAGUCCUCCCUGCGGUGUGAAAGGUGCUGGAUCUUCUGUCUUCCUGCCCCGGUCAGUUUCACUGAAAAGGAAGAACAGGGCAGCCGUGGGGUCAGAACCCGCGCACCUGAUCGCUCGGCACCUGCCUGCAGAGAUUUCUCUUCCCUUAGGAGAUGAAGUAUCAGAAGAGAAUGCAAGACUGUGGCGAGAAUGUGUGCCCUAUAGUCAUUCUGAGCAGAAAUCGUCCCAUUGCAGUGAUAUCACAAGGACCAAGAGAAAGUUGACUUGGCAAUGAGAGAGCACUGGCAUUGACUGGAUGUGGCGUGGGACGUGUGGACAGCCUAGAGAGGAAGUGUUGCCUGGGACAUUCUAAUUCCAAUCCCUGGAGUAAACCUUCAAGGGCAGAGUGCUUAAAGAUUGGUAGGCUUUGAGACUUUCCUAAGACAGAGUCAUGGAAAACCAGCACGACCUCCACCUGUCAUUCUAUAACAAAACCCAAAUGAUCAUACCAUCAUCUACGGACACUUUCUGAGCACUUUUUCCUGUGCCAGGUAAGGGAUAUAUCAAGAAAAAAAAAAAUGAUAGGUCCGGGAUAGAAGUAUGAUCAUGGCUUAGUUGGGAUGCUUGACCUAGCUCAUGAAAAAU